GAUGCUUCCCUGUGCUAAAGCAUACCUUGGCGAAAAUUAUAAUAGGGCGCCCUCUUCUGGUAGAUAGAUGAAUACACGAAGCCCCCUCUGCCCAGGCUGUGUGGGCCUUGGUCCCAGGACUGCAGCCCUCACUCGGCUCAAGGAGAGGGUCUCUUGUGCCAGGGAUGCAAUGGGAUUCAUGCGCAAAGACCCAGAAUACCCCAAAAGCUGCUGCCUCCUGCCCUGCUUCUUAGCCCUCCCUCCGGAGUACACACACACUGUUGUCUCAAGCUCAGCCCUUGUUCUUGCUGAUCUGGAAGGCUCUGUCCCCUGGCCUCCACCUCUGUCAUUGGUGUGGAUUGGAUUCCCCCUUCCCCACGCUGGGCUGAUGAGGUCUCAUUCCCAUGGGGAACCAGAGCACUUUGGAGGCCUCUGCCCACCCCCAGCCACCCCCCUUGGAGAGCCUCCUUUAUGCUCUAUUUUUAGUUUCUUGAUUGCAAGUGAGAAGUCAGAAUCAGAGAAUGCUGGGAAACUGUAGCGAUAACCAACCCAGAAAAAGGGACAGCCAUGUGGGGAGGGUCGAACGGUUCCAAGAGGCAGAGGAGGCGAAUGCGGUCGGUACCCGGGCUAUAACUGGGGCGGACAGGGAGGGCAGAAGGUGGGCUAGGCAUCCUGUCAGCAUGAUGAUGGAUGAUGUCAGCAGCCAAGGACAGAUGGAAUCAAGCCACUGAGCUACAAAGGACCCCUCCAGGCCACCUAUUACAAUUCCUUCUCUCCACAGGAGGAAACUGAGUCACAGCUGAGGAGGCGGGGCUGCUGUAAGGACUCUUGAUUCCUGAGGCAUUGUUUUGCAGGUGUGUGCAACAUUGGGCCAGGAAAUGUCUUCACAAAGCAGUCCACAUUAAAACCAAAGUGCACAUCACCUCUGUGCCAAUCUGGGCCCAAAGACCAGGCACGGGCCAGAUUCAUCACACCGCCCGCAGGCUGGACUGUUCUCGAGCUAACUAGAGACAGCUUUUCCCUCACCGCCCUGGGGCUGCGGUGGCCCCUUGGCCUGCACCAAAUGCAUCAUCUCCCUCCUGGAGACAGAAGUGCUUCCCCAACGUGGCGCCGCUGUACUCCCUAAAUGAAUGAACCUGCAGCUCCAAGCGGUACAAUUGGCAGUUAUUGCUGGCAGUUUAUCAGUAUUAACUGAUUAGGCCCGAGAUGAUGGAUCCCCUGUCUCAAAAAGCCCGCUGCCCUGCACCACCCCCAGACCCUGGGGAUAGGAAGACCAGAAGAAGAAGAAAAAAAGAAAAAUCCAGGAGCCUCUUACCUCAAAGGAGCUAAAGGUGGAUUUGCCUUGAACCAUCCAUGACCCUAUUGAAUUGCCCGUCCCAUCCAAGCUUCAUUCAAAAAUAAGAGCCAGCUCUCACGGUCUCCCUCUUGUCUACAGCGGGCUUCUCACUCUCUGCAAUCUCUACCAAUAGGACCAGAUGCAGUCCACCCUGACCUGGCCUCAAACUCUAAGUAGCCAGGGCUGACUUUAAGCUUCUGAUCCUCUUGUGUGGUCCGUCGUCCCCCCCCCUGCCCCCCGCCCCACUCCAGACGUAUCAGCACUCUGAAUGUCUACAGUGCGAGGGAUGGAACCCUGUGCGCUGCCAGGUAAGUACCCUGUGGACUGAGCUACAUCCCUAGCACCCAGCAUCACUUUCUGGCUACUUUGAGGCAGCCAGGUGUUAGGUGCUCCAUUGAUGCUCACCGGGUUGUUCUCUCACCGUCAGGGAAAG